UGGAAACUGGAAGGCUUGAGUGCAGGAGAGGUAAGUGGAAAUUCCGGGUGUAGCGGUGAAAAUGCGUAGAGAUCGGGAGGAACAUCAGUGGCGAAGGCGACUUACUGGACUGUAACUGACGCUGAGGCGCGAAAGUGUGGGGAGCAAACAGGAUUAGAUACCCUGGUAGUCCACACGGUAAACGAUGAGUGCUAGGUGUAGGAGGUAUCGACCCCUUCUGUGCCGGAGUCAACACAAUAAGCACUCCGCCUGGGGAGUACGGCCGCUAGGUUGAAACUCAAAGGGAUUGACGCGGGCUCGCACAAGCAGCGGAUCAUGUUGUUUAAUUCGAAGCAACGCAACUAACCUUACCCUUGUCUUGACAUCCAAUAAAACGCAUCCGAUACGAUGUGUGUGUCCUGCCCAUACAGAGACGGGUGGUGCAUGUCCUCCUCGUCAUCUUCGUGUAAAGAAUAUGGUUGAGCUCACGUUACGCAACGCACCCCAUC
rnacentral:rRNA from 1 species